GCAUUGUUUAGCCUUGCAACUCUUGUUUUCCCUUUCUAGGGUGGCUGUACAUUUGCCAAGGAACAAAUAACAUAUCUCUUUUUCUUCUCUAUCGGUGGAAAUAUACCUAAUGAGAGGAAUGGAUCAUAUGUUUUGUACGUGUAGGGAAUUUUGCAAUCUCAAGUUUAUUAUGCUAUCAUAACUACAAGAACUGUAGAUUUAAACUGGAAGAUAAGAGCUUUCAGAGUUUUACCCAUGUUUCUCUUGCCUGCAUUAUCGACUCUGGCUUAUACGAUAUUUCUUAGCUUCAUAAGAAUGUAUUGCAAACGUUUUACAAAGGUCUCCAAAGUGGUUGUCUAUCAUUUGGCACUCGUGGAAAAGGAGGACUUAAUAUGGUUGGCAUCGUAGAUCUCUUGCUUUACUGUAGGAUCCAUGUCUCCCGGGUGCUUUCGGCAUUGAGAUUAAGUUAGUGGCAUGGUCAUAUGUUGUUUGGACCGAUUUGGAUCGACAUAAUUUGGAAAUUAAUUUUUGUAUGUGCAAGGAAAGUAUGAAGAAAUCGAUCCUCAACAUCUUGAAGACUUUUUUUAUAUCAUAGACAAUACCUACAAUAGAGUUUGGUAACUCUACUCAUGUAUUGUUUAGUUUAUGUCAUUCCUUGGACAAGUUUAGUCAUAAUCAAGUUUGGUUAGAACAUAAUGUUUGUAUUUAUUUUGAUUCUGACGGUGGUUGAGAUGAAGGCUUAAAUAUUGAAGUUGUAUCUAUUCCUGAAACUGUGGUGACUCAUGGCCGCGGCGACCCAGCGGCAACACAAUAUCCAAUUAUCUAAUUUGGACCCUUCAAAGUAGACAACCAACCUCUUAAUGUAACUUUUUUUUACAAAUGAUGAUCAAUGUUACUUGUUGAUAGGUUACAUAGUUAAACUUCUUGCUUUUUUGUUGUUGGAGUAAAAGUAUUGUAUAUAUAAACACAAUAAUGAGAUUUCAUUUUGUAUAUGCACAUGUAAAAGAGAAAUAUUAUACUUUCUAAAAGAAUAUUAAUUCUAUUGAUUUGUUGGCGUAAAAAAAAAGUAUUUGUUGGCGUA